rnacentral:rRNA from 1 species
AUACGGAGGAUCCGAGCGUUAUCCGGAUUUAUUGGGUUUAAAGGGUGCGCAGGCGGCCAUUUAAGUCAGCGGUUAAAUCGUGGGGCUCAACCCCAUUCUGCCGUUGAUACUGGGUGGCUUGAUUGCGGUCGAGGUUGGCGGAAUUCGUUGUGUAGCGGUGAAAUGCAUAGAUAUGACGAAGAACACCGAUUGCGUAGGCAGCUGACCAGACCGCAAAUGACGCUCAUGCACGAAAGUGCGGGGAUCGAACAGGAUUAGAUACCCUGGUAGUCCGCACAGUAAACGAUGAAUACUUGUUUUCGGCGAUAUAAUGUCGGAGGCAAAGCGAAAGCGAUAAGUAUUCCACCUGGGGAGUACGCCGGCAACAGUGAAACUCAAAUGAAUUGACGGGG